AUUGAACGCUGGCGGCAUGCCUUACACAUGCAAGUCGAACGGCAGCACGGGAGCAAUCCUGGUGGCGAGUGGCGAACGGGUGAGUAAAGUAUCGGAACGUGCCCAGCCGUGGGGGAUAACGUAGCGAAAGUUACGCUAAUACCGCAUACGAUCUAUGGAUGAAAGCGGGGGAUCGCAAGACCUCGCGCGAUUGGAGCGGCCGAUAUCAGAUUAGGUAGUUGGUGGGGUAAAGGCUCACCAAGCCGACGGUCUGUAGCUGGUCUGAGAGGACGACCAGCCACACUGGGACUGAGACACGGCCCAGACUCCUACGGGAGGCAGCAGCGGGGAAUUUUGGACAAUGGGCGAAAGCCUGAUCCAGCCAUGCCGCGUGCAGGAUGAAGGCCUUCGGGUUGUAAACUGCUUUUGUACGGAACGAAAAGGUUUGGCCUAAUAAGCUGAGCUCAUGACGGUACCGUAAGAAUAAGCACCGGCUAACUACGUGCCAGCAGCCGCCGCCG
rnacentral:rRNA from 1 species